rnacentral:rRNA from 1 species
UUCCGGUUGAUCCCCCCGGACCCCACUGCUAUCGGGGAUGGGACUAAGACAUGCUAGUCGUGCGUCUUCCAGCCAUGUGGGAGGCGCGGCAUACAGCUCAGUAGCACGUGGCUAACCUGCCCUCGGGACGGGACCACCCCCGGGAAACUGGGGCUAAUCCCCGAUAGGUGAAGAACACUGGAAUGUGUCUUCGCCCAAAAGGCGUCGGAUCAUGCUCUCGGCGUCGCCCAAGGAUGGGGCCGCGACCGAUCAGGUUGUUGGUGAGGUAACGGCCCACCAAGCCUAUAACCGGUGCGGGCCGUGAGAGCGGGAGCCCGGAGAUGGGCACUGAGACAAGGGCCCAGGUCCUACGGGGCGCAGCAGUCGCGAAACCUUUGCAAUACACGAAAGUGUGACAGGGUCAUCCCGAGUGCCGACCGCUGAGGUUGGCUUUUACCCAGUCUAGAAAGCUGGGGGAAUAAGGAGAGGGCAAGUCUGGUGUCAGCCGCCGCGGUAAUACCAGCUCUCCGAGUGGUGUGGACGUUUAUUGGGCCUAAAGCAUCCGUAGCUGGCUGAUCAAGUCCCCUGUUAAACCCACCGAUUUAAUCGUUGGCUUGCGGG